rnacentral:lncRNA from 1 species
CGUGUUUAAAGAAACUUGAGUAACUAGUUAAAAUAUUAUUUGAUUUAAAAAAUUAAUACUUACAUGUAACGGAAUGGUAACGUUACAUUAGCAAAGAGGGCACCAUAAAGUAUGGUGGGGGCUAUUGUGUUGGUUUUAACAUACAAUAAAGACACAAAAGUUGAAACGCACAAAUACUUUAGUGGUAAGCACUGCCGUAUAAGUGAAAAUCUUAAACCCACAAGGCCGUCGUCUCCUUGCUUCCUGUUUGCAUGUGUAGUGAAUAGAGAGCUGAAAUAGCUACUCAAAUAUUUUGUCACCUUUCUUGACUCGAGACAGCAAGUCCCAUUAUUGAUUCUUCAGGCAGCAGUCUCAUUAUUUAAGUCUUCUGAUUGGCGCCAAGUAGUGUCAUGUAGUGGAACUUGCACUGAAAGUGAAUAGAAUAAACAUCAUGUCACAGCAUUACACAGCCAGAAAAUAUGCCAGCCUUCUGCUUGGCCUUUCUUGGUCCAAUUCAGACAAAUCAAUCCCAGAUCUUAGGCCUGAUAACACACUCCUGAUCUACAGGGCUUAGUCAUCUGGCAAAAGCCAUGGACGGCAUUCGAUUCUAGACAUUAAAAUAAGAUGCUGACUGUUUCAGCGGAGGGGCAAAAUCAAGACUGAAGGCAAGAGAGUAAAAAAGAAGAAGAAGAAAGCAGCCAAGCCCUCUCUCUACGCCUGCAAAAUCUGCAAGGAUGGAGGAAUUAGCAGAGACCCCAGUAUCUUAAAGAAAGAAGAGCUUAAAGGCAAAUAGCACAGGAUUAAUGAACUUUUUAUAUAUAGCUACCAAUUAAUUAGGUGUUCUUGAUAACAUCACCAGCCGCAGAAAGGCUGGAAUUGAUGGAAUGAUUAUUACCACUGAUCGUGCAAUCUCAAGUUAUGAUUAAGCCAACAGUCAUCAUAAUUCAUACAUGCCAACACUAGAUGUCUACUGACCCACAUAUAUACAUACACACGCCAAGCUUUGUUUGAGGCAAAGUUCUAAAUCAAACAUGACUCGGAGGGUGGG